rnacentral:lncRNA from 1 species
GGCAGCUCAGAUCUUCCUCUGCUGCCGUCCGAGGGGGACAUCCUGAGCCUAGCGCUCCACCUGUCUCGGGCACCCUGCGCGCAGCCGCCCAGGGGUCACCGCUGGGGGCCCGCAGAUCUCGCCAAGUCAGCCCGGGUGGGGCCCUGGGCGCCGGAAACCCGGGAUCUCCACUCCAGGGCCUUUUCUCUCUCUCUCUCUCUCUCUCUCUCUCUCUCUCUCUCUCUCUCUCUCUCUCUCUCUCUCAGCGGAGAGUUGGAAAAACCCCUCUCCUGACCCCAAGAAGAGAGAUCUCGGAUUUGAGGACUCCUAUUCACCGUUCAGGUCACACCCUGUGACCUCCUGGCCCUUUGCACCCAGGCGCCGCUCCGGAGGCUUCCCGGUAGUCGCCGAGCCUGCUGGGGAGGUCGGGGGCCAAGGCCACUCCACCGCCGCCGAAAGUCCACCUGCCACCCGGGCCACCGCCACUACUGAAUCUGGGUAGCCAAAGAUAAAUCGGGUUCUGAGGGCCUGUAACAGAACAGGUGACCUGUAACAGAACAGGAUCGUGAGAAGGGACGGUGGGCGAGGCCGCAGGGUCGAGGGGUAGGUGUCGCCGGCCGCCCCCGGCGGGUAGAAACGUGCACCUGGGUCCCUACGCGAGGUCCCCAGCGACUGAAUCCGAGUCGUCCCCUCCUCCCCGCUCCAGAACCUGCCAACUAGAACGACGUCGCCUCCUGCAGGGCAGGGCUAAGCCAGCGCGUGGGUGGCGAGCGCCUCCGCCCUUGCCCGGGAUGCCCGGAGCAGGAGGCUCACCAGCCCAGGCCAGGUUCCCCGUUUGGUGAAGAAGGCGAGGCCGGUCUUCCGAGUUUACUUCCAACUCCUAGAUCCUUCCUCUCCUUCCCCCACCCCGCCGGGGACCCCAGGGUCCCUCCCUUGGCCAGCCCCCGCACCCUGAACCCCGUUCCUACCUCCCACGGCCCUGAUGUCCGCGCCCACGGCAGCUGCGCUUUUCCGGAGCAGGAGCCGGAGCUGCGCUGGCGACUCCGCGCGGGGCUUGCUGUGCGCCAAGGAGGGAUUCGCCGGGGACUGCCCGGAGGUGGGGUGAUGCUCCGCACCCCAAGGCUGGCCCCGAGGCUCAGGCGGACGGGCCGGAGAGGGACAGCCGCGCCCCUCGCCAGCCGCGGGACCGGCCCACCUCUGCCGCGGGGCUGCUGCGCCCCACAGGCCGUGCGGUCCUCCAGGCGGCUGGCCGCUCGCCCUCCUGGGCUCCUCUCCGCUGCCGCUGCCGCCGCCACCCUGCUGGUUCAGGUGCGGCCCUGGCCGCCAGUGUGUCCCCCCCGCAUCUCACCCCCUGCUCCGGGUGGGUCCUGGCUCGCCUCCGCGCAGCUGCACCCCUUACCCCGGCGUUACACAGUAACUGUCCCCUUCGCGGAGACCCCCUCAGCGCCAGGACCUGCAGAACGGGCCAGCCGCCGGCGGACACGCAGGACCGCGGCACCCACAACCCAGGGCCCCCAAGCUCCUCGCCACAGCACGCGGCACACCGUCCUCCAUCCUGUCUUAAGAGACUGGCCGUAGAGCACCGGGAGACGCCAGUCAGGGCCCAGCCGCCGGCACCCGCAGCAACCUUGCAAAGGUUGAUUUUAGCGUGGGAGGUGCCAGAGGGCAGCUCCCUCCUCUCCUCCUGCUAAACUGGGAAAGUGCAAACCAUCCUGAGAAGGCAGAAGAGGAAGGGAGGAGGCAGAAGGGACCCAGCCACGGGAAGGGCGCAGGAAAGCUCUGCUCCCGCUUGCCCUUAAGGCUCCCCUCGCCAGGUCUGCACGCGACUCCUCCCCACCUGCACACCCCGCUUUCCAGAGGAGGAAAGUUCCAUCAACGUCCGGGGUCCCAGCUGCAGAACCGAGCCUUGGCCGGGCCCUCGGACUCUGGUGGGCAGCUGAGGAAACCCAGUCCUCCCCCAGCAGUUUCCAUCGCUGCACGCGCUGGCUUCCACAGCUCGCCCCACAGGUGGCCAGAGCUGCUCGGGUCCCCAGUGGGCCUGUCACCAGCAGGGAUGGUUUGUAAGACGUGGGAGUGAAAAGGUUUCUGGUUGAGUUGAGGUUCCCCCAAGGACCCUGGACCAGCACUCAGAUGAACUAACCUACUUCUGUAAGAAGAAAAUUUUCCACCGACUCCUUCAAGUUUCCAUUGUGAGUAGACUGUUUAAAGACAACGGACUGUUUCCACCAGCAAAGCAGAGUAAUGAGAGAGUGAGAAGAGGAAGGAAGGAGAGGAAGAGGGAGGGAGGGAGGAAGACAGGGACAGAAGGAAGACUGAGGGAGGAAGGGAAGGAAACGAAGGAAAGGGAGGAACUUUUGGCUCAGUGUUUUUGUGAGCUUCAACUGACAGGUCUCAGGACAUCCUCCAAAGAGUUGAGACCCAUUUGGUUGGGGAAAUUGGUAGUUAGCAAUUGUUGGAAAGGAACAGGCUCUCUAAGCAUCCACAAAAUUCAUGUUUUAAGUGAGGUGUGUUCUGGAAGACAGGGCAGGGUGGACGUUGCUUAAAUCCUGUUGCCCCCAACAGGUGGUGGGAAGGAUACAACAGGCAUCUGGCAGAGCAGCACAGCCCAGGAGCCAGCAAGCCUGCAGAAAGACAGCCUCAAUCAUGACAAGGGACAUGCUGGCUCACACAGGACAUGCCCAUGCUUAUCUGCCAGGUUAGCAGAGCUGAACAGACCGACCAAGCCAGUACUACAAAGCCUGAGGGGAAUGCACAUGGGCCUGCAGCUGGCGUGGGCAUGUCCCCACCAGCACUGUGGAAAUGUCCAGAGCUUUGGAGCUGAAGAGAAGCUCUUUGAAAUGAGUCCUGCCUUCCAAGGUGACAGACUUCUCAGAACACCCCUUCUCCAGGUUGACAGCCAAGGGCAAGUCUUGUCCUUGACUCUAAUCAACAUGUACAGGGGGCUCGUGGUAGUGUUAUAAUGGCAAAAAUCAGAAGCAGCCUAAAGGCCAGCUGCAGAGAAAUGGCUAAGCAGUGGCACUGUCAUGGACCUUAUUGCUCUGUAAGCCCCCAAAAUAUAAAAGAUGAUGUACGCCUUUGCUCAUAUUUUUAAAUUUAUUGUGGUAAAUUACACAAAACAUAAAAGUCACUGAACCAUUUUUCAGAGGACAGUUCAGUGGCAUUUGCAUGUGCUCUGUUGUGUCACCAGCACUACCUCCAUCUCCAGAACUCUCCAUCUUGCACCACCAAAACUACCAGUGGAGUGUGGUUCCCCAUUCCCCUCCCACCCACCCUUCUGCUUUCUGUUUCUGUGACCUUGACUGCAUGGGCACCUCUUGUGUCUUCUGGCUGGCUGAUUUCACUCAGCACAAUGUCCUCAAGGCUGUUCUACUUUCUUUGUAGCAUCUGUCAGUUUCCUGCCUCUUAAGGCUGAGUCAUGUCCCAUUGUGUGUAGAGGCCACAUCUUGCUUAUCCACUCAUCUGUUAAUGGACACUUGGACUGUGCCCUCAGUUUAUCUGUUGUGAAUAAUAUUACUACAAGAUGGGUACACUUCUUUGUGAUGACCUGCACAGCCAAACCCUAAAAACCAGCAAGGGACAAUGAGGAAUUAAGAAAGACACACAAACACAGAGACAAAUCUGGGACCCAGUGGGAUACUCACCUCAGAUGAAGGAGCAGUGGCCCAGAACUAGCUCAGCAUUUUUGUUAUAUAUAGGAUCUCCCACAAUCAAGAAGUUAGAGCACAUUGUUGUUUGUUCACUAAAAAGUUACAGAACUAGAAACAUUUUUUGUAGCUAUUCUACUGUUGCAGUGCUGGGAACAUCCUGUUAUUACCCUGCUGAGCCCAAAACGCACAUUGUCCAGAGUUUCUGCAGAGCAGGCAGGCUUGAAGUUUGCAGCACUUGCAAGAUACCAUGGUUAUCUUCUUAUGCUCAGAAUUAUCUAUCUCCUGCAGCUGGCCUCUGGGCUCAAGGUCAAGACAGUUAUUCUGUACCUUUGCACAGAAGUUCCUCAGUAGGGCAUUACCAUAGCUCCUGGGCAAUCUCAUGCUGCACCUUUACACAGGAAGUUCCCAGAGCGAAGCACAGCCACAGCUCUGAGGAAGUCAAAGACCAAGAUCUAAGUCACUGCUCUCCACACUUCUUCACUUUUAUUUAUUUUUCAAUUCAUUUCAUUUUUUUUUUUGGGGGGGUGGUGUACUGGGGAUUGAGUCCAGGGCCUUGUACAUGCUAGGCAAGGGCUCUACCACUGAGCUACAGCCCCAGCCUCUUUCACUCAUUUUUAGCUUGACAUUAAAGAUGUUUCAUCAUUGUAAAAAGGAUAAUUUCCAAUAUAGAUAUUUAUUUUUAAAUUCAAACCUUUAUAUCAUCCUUUUUAAUUAUUUCAAAUGCCAUGUAAAUAAUAUACCAAUUCUAUUUCAACCAUCACCCAUUUUUAAAAUAUAAAAACAAGUUCUUCUUUAACAAAUUUUUUAUUACUUUUGUUUCCUCCUUGAAUUGAUGAGUUCUAUCCUGCCUCCUCCAUACAUUUGAGAUCUUCUGAUGACACUUCUCUGCACAAAAAGUAUGUAAAUUUUAAUUUCCUGUUACCAUAAUUUCUAAGUGUUAAAAACACAUUUAGUGUCUUCAUUACAACCAUUUGUAGUGCAUGAUUAUUCAAAAUAAAAAUAAAUUAUAAAUCUUGAAAAUCAUCAGGCAUAAAAUGUAACCUCUCAUGAUAUCAUAUUAAGAUUAUGCAAGAUGUGAUCAUUGGGGGAUACAAGGUAGAGGUACAAGAUCUCUCUGUAUUCUUUUUUUUUAAAAUUUAAAAAAUUUUAGUAUUGGGGAUUUUACUCAGGGGCACUUUACAUCCCAGCCUUUUUUUUUUUUUUUGAAACAGAGUCUUGCUAGGUUGCUGAGGCUGGCUUGAACCUGGAAUCCUCCUGCCUUGACCUCCUGAGACACUGGGAUUACAGGCCUGCACCACGGUACCCUUUUAUUUUUUUAUAACUGUGUAUCAGUCCUCGAUUACCUCAGAAUAAGAAAGUUUUGUCUUAAAAAUAGCUUUCCAGGAGGGGACCUCAGCUCUUAAUGAAAUAGGGCCCAGUUAGUUCAUGAAGCCAUAGGAAAAUAUCACUUAUUCUAGAAUGAGACAGAAUCUGGAAUCACGCAUUUUCCCUUUUUGUCAUGUGAUGUAAGCACUGAGAAAUCUGGUUUCCAUAAAGAAAUAUGUGUUUUAUUACAACAGAGUCACCAAUCUGUUAGCUGUUCCAUUUUUUGAAAUGGCAAUACCAAUGCUCUGCCAAUUGCUGUACUGUUUUGCUGGGCUGCUAUAACAAAGUACCCCAAGUCAGGUGGCUUAAACAACAGAAAUGCAUUGCCCCCAGUUCUGGAUGACAGAAGGUUGGGAUCAGGGGAUGAGGGGUGAGCUUGCCCUGGGAUUGUGAGAAGGCUCUGGUGCUGGUGAGCCGCUGGCCUCUGGCACUCCUGGCUGUAGAGACCUGGCCCAGUCCUGCGCUGUUUCCAGAGGGCUUCUCCCAGUGUGUCUGCAUCCAGAUUCCUCCUCUCCACAAGGACGCCAGUUAGGUUGGGUUAGGGCCUGUCCUAGUGACCGCCUGUGGGCUUGAUAACCUGUCCUCUACUGGAGGUUAAGAUGGGGAUUUAGGAUAAAGAGAGACAAAUACCAAAUCUGAAAGGAACUGCCCACAGCGGUUGAGAUGCAGACUGCGCAGUUGUAACCCUGAGCAGGAAGCUGGGCCCAAGCUCUUAUAAAAUGAGGGAAACACCAAGCUCCAAGUUGGGCAGCUCCACCUGGCUCCCCGGGAGCCUGGGCCCCACACAGCCCUUCUGUAAACACAGCCCCAGCCCAGGGCAGGGCUGCUCACUCUGAGAAGGCCGGAGUCCCCCUUGGUGUGCACCACCUCCUGGAAAAGCCUCUGUCUGCCUCCUGCUGAACUUCUCUUCCACCAUGUAUGUCAAGGGCCUUGCUGGUCUGAGCCGAGUCCCUCUCCUCUGAGAAUCCCUGGGACCCUCUCCAGAGACCCUCUCUCCUGUGGCAAGGUCACAUCCUGAGGUGCUGGGGGCAGCACUCAGUGAACUCAGGGACACAGUUCCAUGUCAGUUCCAGCCCCAACGGGGCUUCGUUUAGCUUUGUGGAAAACGAAAACUUGGUCACUGCUGGCCUGCAUGUGGCUUAUUACCGCCUCCAGAGCCACUUCCUGUCCUGUUUCCUGGAUGCUUACUGGAUGGGGCUUCCCCAGAGCCUACCACAUAGGGGUCAGUGAUACUGUCCUUUCACCUAAAUGCCUAAAGUGUUGAGCUCAGCAGCUGUUGGGGGAACUAGGAAUAUUUUAAAUUGAAUUUCGAAUCAAAUUUCAACACACACAACAUUUGGAUAAAAUGCUCUUAUUGUAUCAUAGGUUUAAACUUUAUUUUCAUGAAAAUCUUGAAGCUCAAGAUUUAGCUCAUUUGACUGCCUGACUUCACUAGAAAAGCCAGUCCUCCAUGUCCAACAGAUCAGCAAGUCAGACUGACUUUCUGCUGAAAAAGAAGCUUGGCUCCUCUUACAGUCCAAUGGACGUGUGGUUGUACAGCCCCCAAAGAUGCCUCACCUCUGAAAUGUAGGUCUGAGGUGGAGAGCGGUGGACAGCUGUGGAGAGCGGGUGGAGAACGCGUGGAGAGCAGGUGGAGAACGCGUGGAGAACAGGUGGAGAACGCGUGGAGAGUGGGUGGAGAGCAUAGAGAGGGUAGAGAGGGGUGGAUGGUGGUGGAGAAGGAUGGAGAGCAGUGGAGAGGGUGGAGAGGGGUGGAGAGGGUAGAUAGUGGGAGGAGAGUGGGUGGAGAGCAGGUGGAGAGCAGAUGGAGAGAGGUGGAGAGGGUGGAGAGUGGGUGGAUUGCGGGGAGAGAGGGUGGAGAGCAGGUGGAGAGGGUAGAAAGUGGGUGGAGAGGGGUGGAUAGGAUGGAGAGGGUGGACAGUGGGUGGAGAGGGUGGAGAGGAUGGAGAGGAUGGAGAGCGGGUGGAGAGGGUAGAGAGUGGGUGGAGAGGAUGGAGAGCAGUGGAGAGUGUAGAGAGUGGGUGGAGAGAGUGGAGAGGGUGGAGAGUGGGUAGAGAGGGUGGAGAGUGGGUGGAGAGGGUGGAGGGCGGGUGGAGAUCUGUGGAGAGCAGAUGGAGAUCCGUGGACAGUGGUGGGGCUUUGAGGCCCAGAGCCUGCCCCAGGCACUCUGCCUCAGGAUCUCUGAGACUCUGCCAAAGAGAGGGGCACUCUCUGCCGGUUCUUGAGUGCUGGACAGUGAGUUGCAAUUUCCCAGGUGUAUCACUUUGAUUGGUGCGCCAGUGGGGUUUAACCUUGGGGUGUGUGAUACCACAGCAAAGCCCAGGAGGGUCCACCUUUCUGUUUUAAAAUGGGAGAAGAAGAGCCAUGAAAGGCCAGGCCAGGAGGGAUGACCAGCAGAAAGCCUGACCCGGCUCCUGUUCUUGGGCAGAUCCAUCUUGAAAAAAAACACCACAGCAGCUGAAAAGCCUGAGGCCCAUCCCUUAAGAUUAGGCCUGUCCUCCAGGAUGGCCACGCUCCUCCACCGGCACAAGCACCUGGAUCUGAGACCCACUAAACCUUGAACUAUGCACAAGAAAACACUAUGACACAGCAUUUAAAAUAAAAUCUGUAUGAGGGGCUGGGGCAGGGGCUCAGUGGUAGAGCACUCGCCUGACAUGUGUGAGGCACUGGGUUCCAUCCUCAGCACCACAUAAAUGUAAAAUAAAGAUAUUGUAUCCACCUAAAACUAAUAAAAUAAAUAUUU